ACCGGCCCCACAGGCCUUGAAGGUGUGGCUGCUGUGUCACAUGCUGGUCAUUAGGUGGUAGAGAGGAGAGAGGCUGUGUCUACCCUCAGUGUUUUGACCUAUGAACAUUUGAAUGAUUAGCAGUCUAAAAUU